GCACAGUUAGCUCAGCGGGAGAGCACCUGCUUGACGUGCAGGGGGUCACAAGUUCAAUCCUUGUACUGUGCACCA
rnacentral:tRNA from 1 species